GGGAAUGUAGCUCAAUUGGCAGAGCAACCGGCUUUUAACCGGUUGGUUGUGGGUUCGAGUCCCACUAUUCCCA
rnacentral:tRNA from 1 species